UACGUAGGUGGCGAGCGUUGUCCGGAUUUACUGGGCGUAAAGGGAGCGUAGGCGGAUUUUUAAGUGAGAUGUGAAAUACUCGGGCUCAACUUGAGUGCUGCAUUUCAAACUGGAAGUCUAGAGUGCAGGAGAGGAGAAUGGAAUUCCUAGUGUAGCGGUGAAAUGCGUAGAGAUUAGGAAGAACACCAGUGGCGAAGGCGAUUCUCUGGACUGUGACUGACGCUGAGGCUCGAAAGCGUGGGGAGCAAACAGG
rnacentral:rRNA from 1 species